rnacentral:rRNA from 1 species
GAUGAACGCUGGCGGCGUGCCUAAUACAUGCAAGUCGAGCGAACAGAUAAGGAGCUUGCUCCUUUGACGUUAGCGGCGGACGGGUGAGUAACACGUGGGUAACCUACCUAUAAGACUGGAAUAACUCCGGGAAACCGGGGCUAAUGCAGGAUAACAUGUUGAACCGCAUGGUUCUACAGUGAAAGGCGGCUUUGCUGUCACUUAUAGAUGGACCCGCGCCGUAUUAGCUAUUUGGUGAGGUAACGGCUCCCCAAGGCAACGAUGCGUAGCCGACCUGAGAGGGUGAUCGGCCACACUGGAACUGAGACACGGUCCAGACUCCUACGGGAGGCAGCAGUAGGGAAUCUUCCGCAAUGGGCGAAAGCCUGAAGGAGCAACGCCGCGUGAGUGAUGAAGGUCUUCGGAUCGUAAAACUCUGUUAUUAGGGAAGAACAAAUGCGUAAGUAACUGUGCGCGUCUUGACGGUACCUAAUCAGAAAGCCACGGCUAACUACGUG